UACGUAGGAUGCAAGCGUUGUCCGGAUUUAUUGGGUUAAAAGGUUGCGUAGGCGGCCUAUUAAGUUAGUGGUGAAAACGUUCGGCUUAACCGGAUCCCCGCCAUUGAUACUGAUAGACUUGAGUGCGACAGAGGGUGUUGGAAUGUGUGGUGUAGCGGUGAAAUGCUUAGAUAUCACGCAGAACACCAAUUGCGAAGGCAGAUGCCUAUGUCGUAACUGACGCUGAGGCACGAAAGCGUGGGGAGCAAACAGG
rnacentral:rRNA from 1 species